rnacentral:rRNA from 1 species
GAUGAACGCUGGCGGCGUGCCUAAUACAUGCAAGUCGAGCGAACAGACGAGGAGCUUGCUCCUCUGACGUUAGCGGCGGACGGGUGAGUAACACGUGGAUAACCUACCUAUAAGACUGGGAUAACUUCGGGAAACCGGAGCUAAUACCGGAUAAUAUAUUGAACCGCAUGGUUCAAUAGUGAAAGACGGUUUUGCUGUCACUUAUAGAUGGAUCCGCGCAGCAUUAGCUAGUUGGUAAGGUAACGGCUUACCAAGGCAACGAUGGGUAGCCGACCUGAGAGGGAGACCGCCCCCCCUGACAGGAAGCACGCCCACGGCCUCCAAGGGGGGCAACAGAGGGGAAUUUUCCACGAAGGGCCAAAGCUUGGCCGAAGCAACCCCGGUGGAGUAAUAAGGGUUUUCGGACCUUAAAAUUUUUUUAUUAGGGAAAAACAAAUUUGAAAUAACCUUUACACGUCUUAAGGAUACCUAAUAAGAAGCCCAGGGCAACCCCGUAC